rnacentral:tRNA from 1 species
GGGGGUGUGGCUUAGUGGUAGAGUACAUGCUUAGCAUGCAUAAGCCAUAAGUUUGACUCUCGGCACUUCCC